AGCUCCAAUAGCGUAUAUUAAAGUUGUUGCAGUUAAAACGCUCGUAGUCGGAUUUCUGCGAGGGUGCCAAUGUCCGCCGACGCGCGUGCGCAGCGGCGCCCUCGCAUCCUUCUGUUACCACCUCUCGGCAUUCACUUGCCGGUGGUCGGCUCAGAGAAUUUACCUUGAGAAAAUUAGAGUGUUUCAGGCAGGCUAGGCCGGAAUACAUUAGCAUGGAAUAAUGGAAUAGGACUACGGUCUCGUUGUUGGUUUGAGGGACUGCAGUAAUGAUUAAUAGGGACAGUUGGGGACAUUCAUAUUGCAUGGCUAGAGGUGAAAUUCUUGGAUUCAUGCAAGACGAACUACUGCGAAAGCAUUUGUCAAAGAUGUUUUCGUCG
rnacentral:rRNA from 1 species